UAAUCUAUAAGAAGUUGCUUGGACAUGAAUGUGUGUGGGGUUUUGGAGAUAAUUUGUUUUUCACCUGUAAUACAUGAUAUAAUCGUGUAAGGGAAAUGGGAAACAUGCUUUUUUUUUUUUUUUUUUCUUUCUUGUAUUCACUGCAGUUGUUCACUUGAAAAAUAGAAUGUCACCACAGUGUAAUUUUUAUACUGCUUGAAAGAUUCUGACUGGGCAAAUAAGCUGUAAGGGAUAUAAAUUAAGAAUACACAGAAGGGAUACAUCUGGAUAGAGUGGGACUCCUGGGUGUCAAUGAGCGUGCUUGGCUUAGAGUCAUAUGAAUGUCACCUGCCUUACUUCCUUCUCUGACCCUGGGAUACAGAAAAUCCAUCAGCAGCACCUGCUUCCUGGGCUCACCUCCCAAAACAAACCACCUGCAUUCAUGUCCGGAGAAGCUCUGCUCCAGGAGUUGUGGGUGACCUCCAUUGCCAAACCUGCUGAUUUCAUUCCUGCCUCCCUUAAAAAAGAACAUUUGCUUCUGUUUACAGUUCCCCAUUACAGCAUUAAAAUAUAUGAACA
rnacentral:lncRNA from 1 species